rnacentral:rRNA from 1 species
AGUGGGGAAUCUUGGACAAUGGGGGCAACCCUGAUCCAGCGAUGCCGCGUGAGCGAAGAAGGCCUUAGGGUUGUAAAGCUCUUUCGCCCACGACGAUGAUGACGGUAGUGGGAGAAGAAGCCCCGGCUAACUCCGUGCCAGCAGCCGCGGUAAUACGGAGGGGGCUAGCGUUGUCCGGAAUUACUGGGCGUAAAGCGCGCGUAGGCGGUCCACCAAGUCGGGGGUGAAAGCCCGGAGCUCAACUCCGGAAUUGCCUCCGAAACUGGUGGACUGGAGUUCGGGAGAGGAGAGCGGAAUUCCCAGUGUAGAGGUGAAAUUCGUAGAUAUUGGGAAGAACACCGGUGGCGAAGGCGGCUCUCUGGCCCGCAACUGACGCUGAGGCGCGAAAGCGUGGGGAGCAAA